AACGCUAGCUAACACUUGCACUGACUUUUUGCAUUAUCUACACUAUAUACACUUAAAACUAAGUGUUUGAAGUGUGCAAGUAGGCGGUUUGAGACACAGC